CAGUAGCCGCGGGAAUACAGAGGGUGCGAGCGUUAAUCGGAUUUACUGGGCGUAAAGCGUGCGUAGGCGGCUUCUUAAGUCGGAUGUGAAAUCCCUGAGCUUAACUUAGGAAUUGCAUUCGAUACUGGGAAGCUAGAGUAUGGGAGAGGAUGGUAGAAUUCCAGGUGUAGCGGUGAAAUGCGUAGAGAUCUGGAGGAAUACCGAUGGCGAAGGCAGCCAUCUGGCCUAAUACUGACGCUGAGGUACGAAAGCAUGGGGAGCAAACAGGAUUAGAGACCCCGGUAGUCCCUGUCUCUUAUAA
rnacentral:rRNA from 1 species